AGCAGGCCCGAAAGCUAGAAGAACGGGAGGCGACUGCCCAUGAGUCUCUAACAUUGGAAGGGAUCAGCGAGCCAGGGAAGACAGCCUUCUAGACUGAGGCAAGAGCAGGUACAAAGGUCCUGGGGUCACAGAGAGAGACCCAAUUCAGACGGACCAAAGGACGCCCAGGUGACCUGGUGUAAAGAAUGAACUGGCAGCUGGAAUAAGUCAAACCCUGGCCCAGAUGUGAGAGCUCUGGAGCCAUUCCGGAGACUGUCAUUUCAGGACACCAGCCAGGGACACGGCCCAACUGCACCGCUUCCUCUAGAGAGACAACAGAGAGGAAGAACGGAAACCGGCCACUGCAGUGGUCCAAGCAAACAAGGAAUGGUGUAGACCAGGAGGAUGAUGGGGACCGAGAGAUCUAGUCACAAUCUGCACUGAAUGUGAGGUGAGGUUGGGAGGGGUCAUUAAAAGGAUCCAUGGGAGAUGACUGGAGUUUCUACUUACUACGAGGGUCUCUUGACAAAGGACUGGCUUUGGCAGUGAAGACUUGGGACCACUUCAGCUGCAGGAGCCAGGGCACCUUUACAGCUCAGGAGACCACCCAGGUUAGACAAGAGAUUAAGAAGGAACUGUGGAAGGUGCCAGCUGAAGCCACAGGCAAGGAUGAGUCACUGCGGGGAGGACAUGGGGCAAGCGGGUGGACGGAGGCCCCAGGACCUAGCUUUGCCAGGCGUCAGGACGAGAAGGGGCUUGGAGAGAGACAUGAGCCCAUCUGUACCAGGUUGGCAAGUGGCCAUCUACAAGGGGCCCCUGUGUACUGGGCACCCUGACAAGGCAGCCAGCAGUGACCUUGGAGCCAUUUCAAGGAAUAGCAGGUGGGAGGCAGCCCGUGGGGUGAGGAGUGUGGGCAGGGACAGAGUGUGAGCCGUUCCCCAGUUCUGGCUCCAAGGAGAAAAGGAGGAUUGCAAGUGUGCAGAGAGAUAUGAGACAGACAGAUGGAUACAGUGGGAGGGAGGGGGGAGAAUAGGCCUUGGAGCUUGAGAGGACUAUGGUGUAGAGGGAGAGACACCUGUCUCCACAGCCUCACACACGUCUGAGGUGUCACUCUGAGGGGAGUACUCUUAAGUCCAUAUAUCAGGUUAGUCAUUCAGGUCAAUGAAGAGCCAACCCACGGGAAGGAGUCCCUAAGUAUGGAAGGAAUCGCUUCCGGGGGACCCUGGGAAGGCUCUGAGACCUGCUGUGCUUUCCUCUUUCCAGAGCAAGGCUCAGCUCUGCAGCAGCUCGGCCUCCAACCCAAACAGAGAGGCCUAUACAACUAACAGAUGGUGCUACCUGGAAAUCCAGGACUGAGACAGGCAGGACUGUCACCGACAGGGACACGUCGCAGUGAUACAGUGUGGUAUUUUAGAACACAGUGAGUGACAAGGGUCAGUGGCUGCAGGGGGAGGAGAAGCUAUGGCAGAGGAGGAAAGGUCAGAGCCAAGUGCAGGCCAGUCCUCAGCUCUGCCAUGGACACCCUAGGUAUUAACUUGUAUCUGGGUGAACGACUUCUAAGAAAAAAAAGGAUAAUAAAUUCAAAAUAAAACCCGGCCAAACAGGGAGGGGCAUUUUCUGGGGCACUGUUUUCGAAUGCAAAAACCUGGGAGGCCCCCCUUCCCGGGCACAGUCAUCCUACCCUGGGGUCCCGUGGAGCCGCUUAGAGGGCGACUAGCGCCCUGCGGCACCUGAGCGCAUGGCUAGGACUGGAGUUUAGGAAAAAGAUGCGAUGGAGAGAAAAGAUCUAAGUUCACCUCCUCUCCCUGAAGACGGGGAGCUAAGCUCACAAUGAAGACACGUGAAACAACAACCAUUGCGUAAACCAAGUGCGUAAAGAAAUAUCAUAUAACCUCCACGAUAUCCUGUAUAAAACUGAAAAUAAAAAAAUGUUUGUUUUAUGCAUACAUUGAGAAGUUUACACAAAGAAUAGAACAUUUUUUGAAAUCUAAGGAAAACUAUAUUAAAUGUUAUAGAUGGCGGCCUCUGUAGAUGGGGAGGCUCCUACAGAGAAGAUAGGAGGGAAAGGCUGAACACCCUUACACAUGCCCUGUGGCAUGUGUUUAUCUUAGGCCCAUGCAAGGACUUUCCAUAGUCAUACUGCCCAAAGCAUGCAACAAGAGGGCACCGGAUUCUUACAGAUGGUCGUGAGCCACCAUGUGGUUGCUAGGAACUGAACUCAGGAUUUCUGGAAGAACAGCCAUUGCUCUUAACCACUGAGCCAUCUCUCCGGGCCCCUAAGGCUUGUUUCUAAGAAUUCAAAGACAAAUGAAAUAAAGGAAUCUAAAUACUCAUUUGUGACAUAAUCAAAAAAACUAAACACCAUACCUAAGCAUUACAAAAAGCUGCCACAGGGGUCUGGGAUAGAAUGCUAUGGGGUGGGAGGUCCUAUAAGUUCCAGAGCCUCCAGGGAUAGAGAUGGUUCCCUUCCCCACUUGAGGCCAUUUGGUGGUCCAUCCCUGCUAGGAUCUGCUGGAAAGACAAGAAUAAAAACCAGGAAAUCCUGCCACCUGCAUCCCUGGCAACACUGAUAACUGUUGUCUCUGGAACUGGAGUGUGAUUAGCAGAGUUAGACGAAUGCAUGACCACAAUCACAUUGAAAAUCAGAACCUGGGACGCAGGAACAAGAGAGCUCAAAUGCGAGAACCCGGAAGCCCUGGGAAAAUCAUCAGUAUGGAUCAUUAUGUAGUUCAACUUUGAAAAUGUAGCACACUGGUUAUUGUUUACUGAGUAUAAUUGCAUAAAAAUUACCCCCCCGAAUUUAGUGGCUUAAAACAUCAAACACUUAUUAUCUUGGGACUCCAGCUAUGGCUCAGCUGGGGCCUCUGGCUCACAAUCUCCAUGGAGGCUGUAGUCAAGGUAGUUGUGAAGCCUGCUACAAUCCUAAGGCCUUGACAAGAAAGAACAAUUCCAGGUUCCCUGCUGGGGCUCUUGGCAGAGGCUUGCCUGCUGGCCUCUCUGGGGGGCAGCUGAGGACCACAGCACAGCGGCUUGGCUCCCUUACAGAACAAGCAAGAGGGAGAGAAGCACAAACCAUUCUGCCUAUAGCCUAAUUUCAGAAGCAACAUCCUGUGCAUCACUCUUACCAGCUCAUGGUCAGGGUAGGGGUGAGGGGCUUGCGUGGCCGUGGGUAUCCGGAGAUAGGACUGCUGUGAGCUGUGUGCCACAUACCACAUGUGCCCACUUCCUAAGUGCUGCAGCCAGGAGCUUCAGCCUUGCCCCCAGAUUCCAGUAUCUAAAUAGCACUUCACCUCGCUCCAUGAUAAAAGAACUAAAAUGAUUCCGUUCCCAGGACAAAAUAGAUAAAUUACGCCAGUCUAUCGGAACAUAUUAACGCCAUCAUGAAAAGACUGCGGAACUGCCUUCAAAGGCCCGUUGGCUAGAGAUAUGGAAGCAUCCGUAAGCGAGUUGUCUUCAGGGACACCCCAUCAGGCUUUGUCAAGGAUGUCCCUAAGCCCACUGUUCACCUUUACAGGGUGGUCGGGAAACCCAUUCUUUUAAACAUCGUUGAAGAGCAGGACUCAAGACUUGGCCAGAUUUUCUUGUGUGCACUGUAAUCGUGACAACCAAAUGUCUGACAUGAGAAAGUUUGUCUGCAGAGGGGUUCAGAGAACCAACAGCAGGGAAACGAUGCUAUCACAAUAGCCAGUGAAUAGAUCUAGACAGUGAUUGAUCAUUUACUGCUGCUAAAAUCGUCAAAAGAGAGACAUCCAGAUACCGCGAGCCUCCUAAUAAAAGAUGUAAUGAUAUUUAUGAAGUUCUGCUCAAACAAACUGAUUAUGACUGCCUCAUAUCUAAACCCACCCUGACCAUUCUCCUGGAUGUGAACAGAGGACCAUGCAGACAGCACCAUCAGGAAGCCACCAAGGUAGCCCAGGGUGCAAAAAGUGCCACCAGGUGAAGGGUACAGAGACUUAUACUAUGCGUCAACAGGACCACUAUGAAAGAAAACAGUCACAGUCAGCUUUAAUUGUCAACAUGACGCAGUCAUCUGAACCAGCCUCCCUUGAGGAACUGUCUAGAUCAGAUGUGGGCAUGUCUGUGGGGCCUUGUCUUGAUUGCUAAUCGAUGGAGGAGAACCCAGCUCGUUAUGGGCAGUACUUUUCCUCACCCUGGUGCUGGGUUAUAUAAGAAAGCUGGGUAAGCACGUUAGCAAGCCAACGAGCAGCAAUUGCUCCAGGGUUCCUGAUCCAAGCUCCCGCUUGAACCCUGCUCUGGCUUCCCUCGAAGAUGACUAUCACUGGCAAAGGUAAACCAAAUAGACCUCUCUCCAAAGUUGGUUUUGGUCAUGGUGUUUUCCUCACAGUACAGAAAGAAAAUUAGAGGGGGAAAAAAGAUUAGUGCAGGAUCUGUAAGAGACAGCAGAGGAUUAUAAACUUUAUCAACCAGGCUCAGUAGGGGAGCUUGUGUAGAUGUCUACUCAGAGGGACGCCAUGCACGGGCAAAUGCAAACACUAGCUGGCACCGAAGGACACGUAGAAAAGACCGAUAGCUUUAGUUGCUGCACUGGCAUUGAAAUUAUUUUUAGUAGAGUUCCCAUAUUUAAAGAUACAAAAUUGGAAUACUUAGAGGAAAAACGAGAUUGCUUUAGAGAUCAGGGGAGAACGGGGAUAGAGGUUAAGCACCGCAGGUCGUAAAGAGGUGGUGACUGUGGGUCUGAAGCUGGUGACAGUGCAGGGCGAUAGGUAUGGCUUUGGUUCUGACUUCUGCAUGUGUAAAACUUUUACAAUAAUGAAGUAAAAGGGUGGGCGCUGAUUUGUCGUUGUUGUUGCUAUUGUUUGUAACUCGUGGUGUUUCCCAUUCUUAUUAUACAAGCUGAUCUUCUACCCAUUUUCUACUGAAUUCAUGGAGACAAGAAGACAAAGUGACGGGAAACAAAGGAGGAUGGAAAACAAUCUAGUUUGCAGAUGUGAAGCACAUCAUUUACCACUUGAAUUAUUUCCAGUGUACGGUUUAAAGUGCAUUGAUGCUGUACAGCCAGCCAUCCCCACCAUCCGUUCCAAGGACACACUUCAUAAUCCAACAUUGAACCUGGGAUGGAGAGACCGCUCGGCUGUUAGGUGCGUGCUCUGCUUCCAGAGAUCCUCAGUCCCCAGACACACAGCUGCCCUUAACUCCAGCUCCGGGGGGGGGGGAGUCUGCCAUCUUCUUCUGGCCUUCACGGGCACUCAUAUAGAUACUUACAAAUAAAUAAAAAUAAAGGCAAA